rnacentral:tRNA from 1 species
GUCUAUGUGGCGCAAUCGGUUAGCGCGUUCGGCUGUUAACUGAAAGGUUGUUCGUUUAAGCCCACCAGGAACG